CGUUCAUUAAAAACAAUAUGUUGUUGGUGCACACAGCAAAAGGGGCUUUGUCGCCUUUGGGGGCCUGUGCAGUGACCCCCAGAGUAAAUCAGGAGGUUCCACAGCC
ensembl:snoRNA small nucleolar RNA SNORA68